AGCUUGCCAUCUCAAAUCUCAGCUGAUACCUACUUGUACUCAUCACCUCCUCCUCCCAAGAAGCCCUAUUAUUAUCACUCUCCUCCACCACCUUCACCUCCUCCACCUAAGCCAUACUACUAUCAUUCACCACCACCACCUUCACCUCCUCCACCCAAGCCAUACUACUAUCACUCACCACCACCACCUUCACCUCCUCCACCUAAACCAUACUACUAUCACUCACCACCACCACCUUCACCUCCUCCACCUAAACCAUACUACUAUCACUCACCACCACCACCUUCACCUCCUCCACCUAAACCAUACUACUAUCACUCACCACCACCACCUUCACCUCCUCCACCUAAGUCAUAUUACUAUCACUCACCACCACCACCACCCAAAAAGAAGCCAUACUACUACCAUUCUCCCCCACCACCUUCACCACCUCCUCCUAAGCCAUACUACUAUCACUCUCCCCCACCGCCUUCACCUCCUCCACCUACGCCAUACUACUAUCAUUCUCCCCCACCACCCUCACCACCUCCACCUAAGCCAUACUACUACCAUUCACCACCACCCCCACCGAAGAAGAAGCCUUACUACUACCACUCUCCACCACCACCUUCACCUCCUCCUCCAAAGAAGCCAUACUACUACCACUCCCCACCUCCUCCCAAGAAGCCCUACAAAUAUUCAUCUCCCCCACCUCCAGUGCACCCUUACCCUCAUCCUCACCCCCAUCCCCAUCCACACCCCCACC
rnacentral:lncRNA from 1 species